AGGCAGUGUAUUGUUAGUUAGCUGCUCUUCAUACACCAGCAACUAACUACACUGCCACA
rnacentral:pre_miRNA from 1 species